AACCCAUGGUGAAGGCGCCUUCUCAACAAAUCCUUGUAUCUCUCCCAUGCAUCGUAGAGUGUUUCUAGAUCUAUCUACACAAAAGAGGAGAUAUCAUUACGUAAUUU
rnacentral:snoRNA from 1 species